rnacentral:sRNA from 1 species
ACCUGCGGAGGAUCAUUACAGAGUUAGGGUCUCUUCAGGCCCGAUCUCCAACCCUUUGUGUACCUACCUUUGUUGCUUUGGCGGGCCCGCUGGGGCGACCCACCGGCGGCCUUUGGCUCCCGAGUGCCCGUCAGAGACCCUUUCAAACCUGUCAAUUGUGUCGUCUGAGUACCAACUUAAUAAUUAAAACUUUCAACAACGGAUCUCUUGGUUCUGGCAUCGAUGAAGAACGCAGCGAAAUGCGAUAAGUAAUGUGAAUUGCAGAAUUCAGUGAAUCAUCGAAUCUUUGAACGCACAUUGCGCCUCUCGGUAUUCCGGGAGGCAUGCCUGUUCGAGCGUCAUUACACCACUCAAGCUCGGCUUGGUAUUGGGCCCUCGUCCCCCGCGGACGUGCCCGGAAACCAGUGGCGGCGCAGCCCGGCUUCAAGCGGAUCAGUCGUAACAACGCUUUGGAAGCCCGGGUCUGGGUCCGCCAGACAACCCCACCAUUUAUCAAGGUUGACCUCGGAUCAGGUAGGGAUACCCGCUGAACUUAAGCAUAUCAAUAAGCGGAGGAAAAGAAACCAACAGGGAUUGCCUCAGUAACGGCGAGUGAAGCGGCAACAGCUCAAAUUUGAAAUCUGGCUCUUUCAGGGUCCGAGUUGUAAUUUGCAGAGGAUGCUUCGGGUUCGGCUCCGGUCUAAGUUCCUUGGAACAGGACGUCAUAGAGGGUGAGAAUCCCGUAUGUGACCGGUCGCCACGCCCGUGUGAAGCUCCUUCGACGAGUCGAGUUGUUUGGGAAUGCAGCUCAAAAUGGGUGGUAAAUUUCAUCUAAAGCUAAAUAUUGGCCAGAGACCGAUAGCGCACAAGUAGAGUGAUCGAAAGAUGAAAAGCACUUUGGAAAGAGAGUCAAACAGUACGUGAAAUUGUUGAAAGGGAAGCGCUUGCAAUCAGACUUGCCCGCGGGUGAUCAGCCGGUAUUCUUACCGGUGCACUCGCCCGUGGUCAGGCCAGCAUCGGUUUGGGCGGCUGGAUAAAGUCCACCGGAACGUAGCUCCCCUCGGGGAGUGUUAUAGCCGGAGGUGCCAUGCAGCCCGCCCGGACCGAGGACCGCGCU